CAAUCAUCAAUCAAAAGAAUCAAAAGAACCAAAAAGAUGUUCAAAGUGAGUGAACUGAUCCAUUAAACGAAGUCAACCAAACACAACUACGCUCACAUGACAUGAAGUCAAACCACUGACACCAGGGGGCGACACACACAUAUACUGUCUGAUCAGACCAAACUGAAACCACGGGGGAAAUAACAUAGACAACAACUAAACCUCUACACAAAGACCCCCCGCCCCCCUCAUGCUAAUACAGCUCUUGGUCUGGUCCAAUCACUGGGCCUCUGCAUUUAAGUCGACUCCGCCCUCAGUCUCAUCUUUUGGCCAAACCAGGAAGUAAGAUGACGCAGCAGCAGGUGGAGACACUCGCGGACCAACAGCCUCAGCCAUCGUUCAGCUCACAGCAUAGCUAGCUGCUUAGCAUGCUAACGUCAGUAGAAGCAGUGACAGAAAGAAACAAUGUUGUUGUUGUUCUUGUUGUUUUAACCUCUGGACACAGAAGUUGUCGGGUGAAGGAACAAAGUUUCUGGUAGAUUGACUCUUCACUGUGUCACCGUCCUAACCCCAGCGGACUUCCUGCUCCGCCCCCUCGUAGCUCGGCGAGGCGGCGUACUGCUCACACAGCGACCCCUGCAGGCUGGGAGCGCACACCGCGGACACCUUGACGAACAGAGAGCCGUGCUUCAGCUUGAACAUCUUUUCGACGUUGAGACCCACCGCGGGGAUGAGGGUGAACUUCCCCAGCAGGUCGUCGUCCCAGACACUGUCCCGGUCCCAGACCUCCAGAACCACAGGCCUGCGGAGGAAACACACCAACAAUCAAUUCAAUAAUCCUCCUCAAAUUAAUUCCACAUCUUUCAAAUUUCCCCAGACAGAUUCCAAUUCCCGACUCACACUCGGUGCUGCAGGUUGACGGUUUGAAACCGGACGAGGUAGUUCCACUGCGGGAAGUUGUUGUUCCAGAUCACCGGCGUCGUGGCUCCUUGUUGACCAUACAACACUUUGAC